GACGAACCGAGCGAACGUUGUUCGGAAUCACUGGGCUUAAAGGGCGCGUAGGCGGGCGCUCAAGUCCGUGGUGAAAUCCUCCGGCUCAACCGGAGAACUGCCUCGGAUACUGGGCGUCUCGAGUGUGGUAGGGGUAUGCGGAACUAUCGGUGGAGCGGUGAAAUGCGUUGAUAUCGAUAGGAACUCCGGUGGCGAAGGCGGCAUACUGGACCACCACUGACGCUGAUGCGCGAAAGCCAGGGGAGCAAACGGG
rnacentral:rRNA from 1 species